AGCGAUGGGUUUUGUUUGAUUUCUUUACUUUAAGUUUCGCCACCAAAAAAUCCGGAAUUUGGCACUUUCGGAACU